rnacentral:rRNA from 1 species
GGUUGAUCCUGCCAGUAGUCAUAUGCUUGUCUCAAAGAUUAAGCCAUGCAUGUCUAAGUAUAAGCUUUUAUACGGUGAAACUGCGAAUGGCUCAUUAAAACAGUUAUAGUUUAUUUGAUGGUCUCUUUUACAUGGAUAACCAUGGUAAUUCUAUGGCUAAUACAUGCGCAAGGGCCUCCUCCUCUGGAGGGGCUGUGUUUAUUAGAUACAAAACCAACCCACCUUGUGUGGAGUCUUGGUGAUUCAUAGUAACCGAACGGAUCGCAGUUGGCUUUCGGGCCCGCGAUGGAUC